GACGAACGCUGGCGGCGUGCCUAACACAUGCAAGUCGAGCGAGGAACUUGCAACUGAUUCCUUCGGGAUGAAGAUGUAGGUUUCCUAGCGGCGGACGGGUGAGUAACGCGUGAGAAACCUGCCUUUCACUAGGGGAUAGCCUCGGGAAACCGGGAUUAAUACCCUAUGACACUUAAGGGUCGCAUGGCCUUUAAGUUAAAGCGCUUUAGCGGUGGAAGAUGGUCUCGCGUCCCAUUAGCUAGUUGGUGAGGUAAAGGCUCACCAAGGCGACGAUGGGUAGCCGGCCUGAGAGGGUGACCGGCCACACUGGAACUGAGACACGGUCCAGACUCCUACGGGAGGCAGCAGUGGGGAAUAUUGCACAAUGGAGGAAACUCUGAUGCAGCGACGCCGCGUGAGUGAUGAAGGCCUUCGGGUCGUAAAGCUCUGUCCUAGGGGACGAUAAUGACGGUACCCUAGGAGGAAGCCCCGGCUAACUACGUG
rnacentral:rRNA from 1 species